rnacentral:misc_RNA from 1 species
AAGAAUGCGAUAUGCAAUGUGAAUUGCAGAACCACGAAUCAUCGGAUAUUUGAACGCAACUGGCACUAGCCAAACUAGUAUACUUGUUUCAGUGUGCGCAAACACAUAAACAAAAUCCAAAUGUGGGAGAAUUUCUCCUAUUAAAUAUAUGCUCUUUGCAGCAGUCACAGCAAUGUGAGCCGCAUUGAAUAAUAACCACUUUAUAUGCACCUGAAAUCAAGUAAGAUGACCCGCUGGACUUAA